CAUUGCUUGUGAAGGUUCUUUUCUCAUCGCCGGCCCAGGACAUCUCCCCUUCCUACCCUACAUCGACCGCAGCUGGUCUGCGACACCCAGAUUCCCCAGACUCAUUGCUCCAGCACUGCAGGAAUGGAGUCCUGCAAAUGAACCUCACCUGGUCCAGGUGUUUCCGGGGCUCAGGAAUCCAAGGGCCUCCAGAGCCCCAGUGGAGCGGUAGGAAAAGAACCGAAGAUUCCUGAAACAUGACUUAAAACAUGGAUGUAUCUGGCCAGCCUGUUCUGAAAGGUUGAAGUUUCACACUGGCCCCACUCUACCCUUCUCCUGGACCUUUUAAAGAGCUGCCGUUGUUAGGUUUCCUGACUAGAAUAUAAAUAACAGCCAGCGUUAUU